rnacentral:tRNA from 1 species
UUUGUGGUGACUGAUUUAGGUGUAAGAUUGUAAUUCUUUUUAAGACAUUUUGUCUCACAAAA